rnacentral:rRNA from 1 species
GACGAACGCUGGCGGCGUGCUUAACACAUGCAAGUCGAACGGAAAGGCCCUGCUUUUGUGGGGUGCUCGAGUGGCGAACGGGUGAGUAACACGUGAGUAACCUGCCCUUGACUUUGGGAUAACUUCAGGAAACUGGGGCUAAUACCGGAUAGGAGCUCCUGCUGCAUGGUGGGGGUUGGAAAGUUCCGGCGGUUGGGGAUGGACUCGCGGCUUAUCAGCUUGUUGGUGGGGUAGUGGCUUACCAAGGCUUUGACGGGUAGCCGGCCUGAGAGGGUGACCGGCCACAUUGGGACUGAGAUACGGCCCAGACUCCUACGGGAGGCAGCAGUGGGGAAUAUUGCACAAUGGGCGGAAGCCUGAUGCAGCAACGCCGCGUGCGGGAUGACGGCCUUCGGGUUGUAAACCGCUUUCGCCUGUGACGAAGCGUGAGUGACGGUAAUGGGUAAAGAAGCACCGGCUAACUACGUGCCAGCAGCCGCGGUGAUACGUAGGGUGCGAGCGUUGUCCGGAUUUAUUGGGCGUAAAGGGCUCGUAGGUGGUUGAUCGCGUCGGAAGUGUAAUCUUGGGGCUUAACCCUGAGCGUGCUUUCGAUACGGGUUGACUUGAGGAAGGUAGGGGAGAAUGGAAUUCCUGGUGGAGCGGUGGAAUGCGCAGAUAUCAGGAGGAACACCAGUGGCGAAGGCGGUUCUCUGGGCCUUUCCUGACGCUGAGGAGCGAAAGCGUGGGGAGCGAACAGGCUUAGAUACCCUGGUAGUCCACGCUGUAAACGGUGGGUACUAGGUGUGGGGUCCAUUCCACGGGUUCCGUGCCGUAGCUAACGCUUUAAGUACCCCGCCUGGGGAGUACGGCCGCAAGGCUAAAACUCAAAGGAAUUGACGGGGCCCCGCACAAGCGGCGGAGCAUGCGGAUUAAUUCGAUGCAACGCGUAGAACCUUACCUGGGUUUGACAUGGAUCGGGAGUGCUCAGAGAUGGGUGUGCCUCUUUUGGGGUCGGUUCACAGGUGGUGCAUGCCUGUCGUCAGCUCGUGUCGUGAGAUGUUGGGUUAAGUCCCGCAACGAGCGCAACCCUUGUUCACUGUUGCCAGCACGUUAUGGUGGGGACUCAGUGGAGACCGCCGGGGUCAACUCGGAGGAAGGUGGGGAUGACGUCAAGUCAUCAUGCCCCUUAUGUCCAGGGCUUCACGCAUGCUACAAUGGCUGGUACAGAGAGUGGCGAGCCUGUGAGGGUGAGCGAAUCUCGGAAAGCCGGUCUCAGUUCGGAUUGGGGUCUGCAACUCGACCUCAUGAAGUCGGAGUCGCUAGUAAUCGCAGAUCAGCAACGCUGCGGUGAAUACGUUCCCGGG